AAAAAUUGUACGGCAUAGAUUUUGAUUUUCUCCCCAGAAGCUUUCUUAGUGGAGAAAUCCUGCUUCUCCCAGCCCGGCCCGCUUCCCUUGCUGUCCUCUCCUCUGCCCUGUCUUUGCCUUCCUCCCUCCCUCCUAUGUGUCAAGUUUCUCUGUCCCCUUCUCGGCAAGGAAAGAGAACCGGGAACUGCUUUGCUUGGCAGUUCUGCCUCUCAUCUGCCGCUGUUUGCCUCUUGCCUUUGAGUGUGCGAAAGUUUCUUCCUCUGCGUGUGGAUCUGUCUUCCUCUCUGAGGCUGUUUUAGCUUCUCUCCUUCUGUUGGAUGCUGUCUGUGAGUCUGUCUCUCCUCACAUCUGUCUCCCCUGCACCUGGCUCCUACCCUCCCAGACGGCUCUCUCCUCCUUCCGGAUCCCCUGCUCAGCCCAGCUUCUGGCGGGGCAGGGCGCGGAGGGCCUCUGUGCCCUGCGGUGGCCGCUCCCCCAGCUUCUACCCUUCCUACUACAUAGGAAGUUCCUCUUCUAGGAAGAGAAAGCCCUUCUCUCGGCCCCCGCAGGCCCUGGAGGGCUUUGGGCAGUGGGACUCACUGCAUGAAGCUGUCCCUUCCUCUUAUCCUAGUGACCCAAUCAGCAUCUCAUCUGAUCCUCCCAAUCUCCCCUUGAGGCUGAUCUGGUUACCCCCACUUUACAGCUGAGAGGAAUUCUGGCUCAGACAGUGAAGUGACUGCCUGGAGGUCACACAGCACUUGGCCUGGUGUUAACCUCAAAGCAAACACUUGGAAAAGCCUUAAUGAAUGGAGACAGGUUGCUUGUGGAGUGGAGCAAAGGAGGCCAGAGACCUGCUGCUUAUGCCACUGACAAGCUGUGGGAUUUGGAGAAAGCCCCUGACCCUCUCUGGGCUUCAGUUUCCCCAUUUCUAAAUGAAGGAGGCUGGACUGGGUCCUCCUUAAGGAUCCUCCCAAUUCUGACGGCUCUGAAAUGGGAAUGAAUGAAGUGCUACUGUUCUUUCUCCCUCAUUAAGUCAUUUCGCAAAUGUUUAGUGCACCUCCUUGCUCAGCCAGGCCCCGAGAGCCUGAUGCUAGCUAGCCCCAUGUCCCAUUUUACAGCUGAGAUCAUGGAAGUUCAGAGAAGGGAUGUGACUUGCCCAAAGUCACACAGCUAGCAAAUGACAAGGCUGAGAUUCAAACCCAGGCCUGAAUCCAAAGGUCAUGCCUAGUCCAUCUGCAUCCCGGUUUCUCAGCCCCUUCCUCGCCUCUCCCCAGGGUGCCUGGCCUCUGGAGGCCUGGGAUCCCCUUUACACAGUUUGGGGGAGGGGCUGGGCUGGCUCCUCUCAGGCAGCCUCUCUACCAUAUGUUUUGUCACUAAAAAACACCUCCCCCCUUCCGUCCAGCCCACCACUCACCCAGAGUCCUAGAUUUAAGGUGCGAGUGAACCUGAGGAUGCUCUUUCGCUAUUGGUGGGACCCCUUGCAGGGCAGCUGGUGGAGCCAGUUGAGACUCACCAGGGGACCAAGAUGUGUUUCCUUGCCCUGCCUUCAGCAAACUGCAUGACCUUGGGAUGGCUGCCUCUUUCUGCGGUCAGGCUGGUCCUGCCGCGUGAAGGCGGUCUCCAGGGGGAGAGCAGGUGCUAUCGGCGCUGGGCGGGGAUAACGAGCCCUCCUCGCGCACCUUGCCCCCUCGGAGUUACCAUCUGCUCGGCAGACGCGCCUCCCAGGACCCUGGGGUUGCCCCAGUCUCCCUCCCGGGAUCCAGAGCCCGCUCCUCGGCUCAGAAGCCUCAGUCUCUCCCCAGGGCUCGUGGCAGUUGCUGGAAGGGAGGUCCCCAGGGGCAGAGAGCUGCAGGCCCGGGACGUCCCCGGCAGAGGCAGUGGACGCCAAGAGCCGGGCAUCCCUGGUUCCCCUUCCCGCUCCCGGAAUCCCCACUCCCCCCAGCUCUCCGCGGGAGGCAGAGCCGGUGGCAGGUCCCGCGCGGAGCCGCCGCGCACCGGCUCGGGACCCGGUAAACACCCCGCGGGAGGAGGCGGCGCCCGGAGGCCGCCGGGCCGGGGCGGGGCUCACGGGGGGCCCCUCAGCGCGGGCGGGACGCGGGUGCUGGGGGCGGGGGCAGGAAGCUAGCCGAGGCCCGGGCCGGCCUGCGCUGCCCCGUGACGUCGCUCGGCUUCCAGGGAUCUGUCCCCGCGGCCCGGGUCCCCUCCGCCCCGCCCUCCUCCUGCCCUCCCACCGCCCCCCGCGGCCUCGCCUCCGCGCCGCGGCCGGCAUUUCUCGCUCGCAGCUCGCCCGCUGGCUGGCUCUCGGUCCCGGCCUCCUUCUCCUCGCUCUGACUCUCCUCCUUCCCUCUCCGACCCUCUUUCUCUUUCUCCCCUCUCCCUCUCCGAUCCUGAUCUAGUCGUUCCCUCCGCCCUUUCUUCUCCUCCCUCUUGCCUUCCUCUCUCUCUUUCGGUCGAUUCCCCUGCCUCUCAUUCUCUCUGUGUCUCUGCUUCUCUCCCCGUUUCCCUCUCGGUUUCUCUCUUCCCCCUCCCUCCCUCCGGGCUUCUCUCCCACCCCCCACCCGUGCCCUCCCUCCACCCUCGCUCCCCUCCCCCUCCACCCCUCGCAGCCCAGCCGCUCGCAGCUCCCCAGUCAGCCUCCCCGAACCAGCGCCGCCGCCGCCCGCACUCGCCGCAGGACCGGCCUGUCCGGCUUCCCGGGGUGCGCCCUCCUCGGCCCCGCGCCCUCGGGGCUCGCUGGCACAGCCUCCUCCCCCGGCUCACGGCCCCGCCCGGCCCGGCCCCAGCCCAGCGCCCGAGCGCGCCGAGGAUGUGAGUCCUGCUAGCCUCUGCCGGAGCAGCAGCCACUCGCGCGCCGCCGAGCCGGAGCGCAGCGCAGCGCAGCCUCGGGCGCUCGCGGGGUCGCUCGGGCCGGCUGCGC